UCGUUGGUCGGAUCGCUUAUAAAAGUCAUAGCACACCUCUCCUCAAUGAGCCGGUCGAUUUGACACAUCAUUCAUGGGUCUAGAAGAAGAAUAAUAAGUAUGCAAGAGAAUAAGAAUGGGUUUUCACCCAAUCAUACAGUCAUGGGGUUUUUAAAUGAGCUGGGCUAUAGGGGAAGCUGGAAAUCAUAGGGUUUUUUGUUAAUCAGGUCAGUACUGUGUCACCUGCCCUUGAUUACAUCUGAUAUAUUACACCAUAUGCACACUAUUUUUUGUAAUUGAAUAGUCAAUGAGUAAGUAGCUAAGUCAAUACAAAAGAGUUGGUAGAUCUGAGAACUGAAACAAUGGUUCAGUCAAUCAGUGUUUAAAUCAUUCAAUCAAAAAUCAUUUAUAGUCACCUCUUCUUUCCGACUCACAUCUCACUUCUUCUGCCACCUUUAUUAACAAUAUACAUGUAAUUACAUAUCUAUACCUUUCAAAAACAUUAACAACCUCACAGUCUUACCUCUCUACACCACUAUUAAUUUCUAGCAACCAUUAUAUUGUUUCAAAACAUUUCUCUUUCAUCUCUUUUCAAUUAUUUAAUGAUUUUUAUUUCAUAUGGUUUAAUACAGAUCGGUUUUUGGAAUGCUUUCACAUUUCUAAGAAAUCAGUCAAGUGUAGAUCACGUCAAGUCUAAAUCAUCAAUAUUUCACAAAGUUCUGGGUCUGAACUGGAACUUCUCAGUUGAGAGUGUAAAAAUAAAAGAAUUGUGUUCACUGUUUUGUAAAAUAUAAUAAAAAUGUGUAUAUCUAUAAAAUGCUUUGCAAUGAAAAAUUAAUCAUGUUAUUUCAUUGCUCCAUAGUGUUCAGACAGAUUCGGAGUCAAAGAAGAUCAGCAUCGUAUCAACGGUUUUAAAAGUCUCUGCCUAUGACGAUUAUGGCUUGUGUUAUCCAUCCAGAAGAGACAAUGAGCAGACAUUUGCCUAUCUGUGCAUAGAUCCUUUCAAAAGACAUGUAUAUGUCUUGUACCACUGUUUUGGCAUUGGCCAAUUUUCUAAUAAAGAUUUUAAGUGCUCUUGAACAA